AUAUUUAUCGACAAUAUACGCCAAUGAAUCAAAGUGAAUGUCAUACUCUCUCGCAACUGAGUUGAAAGUAGACUCCAUGAACCAGAUGGAAGACUGCAUCAAAGAAUUGGUCCUCUGUGUCCCCAAGUGGAAUAACUCCACCGCACGGGAUGCAGGUCUUGGAACUCGAAAUCCCAAAGCAGCCAGAAGAGGUGUGCAGUCAAUACUGUUGUUCGUAUAGAAAUCUGAGACACAAAAUUCCUCUCCUAUCCCGCAGCGAAACCACAUUGAAUCGACUCAACAAUACACCAUGGUCGAAUCCUCUUGGUGGAUAAACCCCAUCCUCCCUCCAAACUAAGAACUUCUUCUCUGUACGGCCUCAAGGUGGUAUUGAUGACAAAAAUAAAUAGGAUGCCAAAUAAUGCUCCCAUACUCCAACUUGCUUCGGAUGAGGGAAUGAAAGAGACUCAAAAAUGUUGAAGUAUUAGUGAAAUAUUUGCCAUUGCGAGCAAUGAAUCCAUAUGUUCUCGAGGCAGAUGAAAUAAGUUGGGAGAUAUGUAGAAUGAAAGUGAACUUCUGAUCAAAAACCGCACCAAAAUCUUUCACUUCAUCGACACGAGAUAGAACUUGAUCCCCGACGAAAUACUCACAUCUCAGCAUAUCCAUUUUCCUUGUGUAGGUAGCAACACUACACUUUGAAACAUUUAAACUCAAAAGAUUAUCUCAAACCACCUGGAAACACUAUCCAGCUCGAGUUGAAGUUGAACACAGUCAUCCAGUGACUGAAUCUCAUAAUAUAUGAUAAUUUCAAAUCGUUCGCAAACAUCAGAUGUGGCAAUUCAAGAUCAUCCAUCAAAUCAUUCACAAACAAAAUAAAUAGAAGUGGCCCAAGAUUAGAGCCCUGAGGAAUCCCAGAAGUGGGUAUAAACUCAGAUAACCGUACACCCUCCAGCUGGACGAAUUGAUGACGAUCAACCAGGUAUGAACAAAACACUUUGACAAGGCUCUCGAAAAAGCUAGAGUUGUUGCGCAAUUUCGAUAUGAGAAGAUCAUGCGCAACCUUGUCAAAAGCCUUCUGAAAGUCUGUGUAUAUUGUAUCAACUUGACCACCGGAAUCGAGCACUUCGCAAAUAUGCUGGGAAAAUACCGUCAAAUUGCUUGCGCAAGAUCUCCUUGCCAUGAACCCAUGCUGCUCAAUCUUAAUAUGACUCCUUAUGGCUGGAUAAACAUUAUUGUAGACAAUAAUUUCAAAUAAUUUGGAGAAGUUGGACAAAAUAGAAAUUGGUCUGUAGUUACCAACAACGGAAGGGUCCCCCUUCUUCAAGGCUGGUACAAUCUUGGUCAGUUUCCAAUUUUUAGGAAAAGUGGUCUCGCUCUAGAUGAGAUUGAAUAUACGUUCUAAUGGAUGUGACAGUGCAUAAAUACAAUCCUUUACAAUAAAACUUGGUAUCCCAUCAGGACCAGAUGAAAGCUUAUUUGAGAGUUUCUUUGCAUCGCCAAUUAUUUGUUCUUGUGUUAUUGAGUUAAUGCUUAUCGUGUCGGACUACCAGUAUCGUAUAUUUCAUAUGUAUCACGGUCCACAACAGGAUCAUAUACCCAACUGAAAUAUUCGGCAAAGGCAUUAGAGAUAGACGUGGAUCCACUAUAAGUUUCUCCACUCUGUCUCAUCUCACCAGGUAUUUUGGAGUUACCCUUCUUCUCACUGAUAAAAGACCAGAAUGAGGAGGGAUCUUGUGUUAUUUUAUCUUCUGAUCUUUGAAUGAAGUUCUUAUAAGCCAAGUUACUAGUAGUUUCUGCAAAAUUGUAAAAGGUGUAAAAUGUUUUUUCUUCAACAACGGAUGGCGUUACGAAAACUUUUUACUAAGCAAACCCUAAUUAUUUUUCAAUUGUCUAUCCUAGAGACAGGGUCACCUAUUUUUAGAAACACCCUGUAUAGUUAUGUAUGUAGAUCGCUUCGUUACGGCUGCACAAAGUGACAACAGCGCCUUGUAGGAUAGCUCGUUUCGAUUCCAAUCCAAAAUAUGAUAUAACAAAUGAGGUCUGUGCUCUUCUUUUUCUUGAUCGUUGGCUACUAUUCUAACCAGAUUAAAUUAUAGCUAUCUUUGUUUACAAAAUCAAUGCUAACAGACUCUCUUUCUAACCAUGUAAUAUCAAGACUAUAUUGCCUCAUAGUGCAAUGGCAACGAAAAGUUUUAAAUUAUACCUAAAUGUUCUUAUCUAUUUUCACUUUUAGAUAACGCAAUUCAAAUAUUUUUCAAAAAUAAAAGGCUGAAAUGGUAUAUUUGAAAUGAGACGUUAUAAAACUAUUCCAUAGGAACAUACUCGAUUUUCGUUUAGGGAGAAUUCGCCAUAAAGUUUUUGAAUGUUUUUUAUGGCAAAUCAUUUGUGUAAUUAUUGACAAAUGAUUUUUCAUAAAAACAAAUCUAUAUUCAAAAAUUUCCCUAGAAAGUGCUAUAAAAAACAUAACCUAUCAUCGAAUCUCUCUAAAGCAUGUUUCACACUAGACCUAUGUAAAUCUCAUUUGGGAUGAUCAACGCGGAUUUUCACUGAGAUAAAUUGAAAAGGAAUAAAGUCGGUAUCAAUUUAUGCAAACUUGAUAUGACGAGGCUCGUCAUUCUCUAAAAUUUCUCUAUACAAUUAUUCAAUUAUUACACAUUCUGUGACCACUUUUCCUCACAAGUGACAUUGUCACUUUCACGUUUAUUUUUUUAUAUUCGGAAGUUUGUUAUUUUGUACCAAGUUUUUGUGAUGCCCAUGUCGAUUUUGAAAAAAUUUCCAGUUAAAUUUCUAUCCUAAACAAGUCCUUAGAUGAACUCAUUCAUGGAGGCACUUUCAAGAACAUUCGAUGAGAAAUAUAUAUCCUUGCUUCAAAUAUGUAUCAGUACUACGUACAGCACCAAGUGCUGACCCAGUUCUUCUCGAGAGAAAAAACCUAAAAUGAAAAAUCAAAAGGAAUACUGAAGAUUAGUCAAGAGAGGUGUGUGAAGAAAUUCAAAAUCCUUACUGAAUGAAAUAUCCUUUUCUCUUAUACACAGGCCAAUAAAAUAAAAAAAUUGUGCCGGAAAUCUAA